GAUGAACGCUGGCGGCGUGCCAAUACAUGCAAGUCGAGCGAACAGACGAGGAGCUUGCUCCUCUGACGUUAGCGGCGGACGGGUGAGUAACACGUGGAUAACCUACCUAUAAGACUGGGAUAACUUCGGGAAACCGGAGCUAAUACCGGAUAAUAUAUUGAACCGCAUGGUUCAAUAGUGAAAGACGGUUUUGCUGUCACUUAUAGAUGGAUCCGCGCCGCAUUAGCUAGUUGGUAUGGUAACGGCUUACCAAGGCAACGAUGCGUAGCCGACCUGAGAGGGUGAUCGGCCACACUGGAACUGAGACACGGUCCAGACUCCUACGGGAGGCAGCAGUAGGGAAUCUUCCGCAAUGGGCGAAAGCCUGACGGAGCAACGCCGCGUGAGUGAUGAAGGUCUUCGGAUCGUAAAACUCUGUUAUUAGGGAAGAACAAAUGUGUAAGUAACUAUGCACGUCUUGACGGUACCUAAUCAGAAAGCCACGGCUAACUACGUG
rnacentral:rRNA from 1 species